GUCUCAAAAGUCAGAGCGUGGAGCUGAUGUGGUCAAAAGUUGAACUGACUCUAGAUUUAAGCGGGGACUACAUUUAGGAAUGCUACUCGAGGUUAAAGGCCAUGCACUUCACAUUGAGGUUAAAGGAUGAAAGUUAAGCCGCUCCCUGAUAAAUAACAGCAUAAAAGCUGUCUGUGGUUAUUUAUACACUUCAUAAUGUCUGUCAGAUGUCGCCCUAUAGUAAAGAUAAUCUACAGUAUGUGAUAAUUACAAGCACAAUGAGGGGUGUAAAAUGGGGUCAGUGGCAGUUCGGAGUUGCUGCCUACAUGGUUAAUAAUUUUUUAUUUUUUUAGGCUUUUAUUCAAAAGACUGGUUUAUGUUGUGUCCGGAGGCUGUCAAACUUGAUCUGCAGGUAAAACUUCACGGAGCCACACAGAUGAUCCUGAAGCCUAUAGAGCUGCGUGUUAGUGUAUAGAGAGGAGCAGCAGCAGCAUGCAUGCAUUGUCCCAGGGUGUACUACAGUAUAUGGGUGCCCCCUAGCGUAUGAAGUUUUUUUGCUUCAAAUAAGAUUCAAUUUAGAGGAGCCAUCCGACACGGAAACUGCCUCAGUCUCGUCUCCCGCAUCGACCAAACUAACGAGCACCAUUUUAAACUGAUGACUGUUUGUUUAAAUUCUGUUUUACAUGACUUGGACGGCAAAGCUUUGAGAGUUGCCAGAGUUGGAUUUACUUUUUGCCACUUCAGACAGUCCCAGCGGUGAUCCCGCGAAUAUGGAGAGUCUGUAAAUAAAAUAUCACCGCACGAUAUCCAUUUACCGAGGAUCCACCUUUGCUUCGAAUGGUAAGUAUACAUUUUGCACAGUUUGUGGUGACAAAUCGGCAAACUAAGGACGCUUUAUUCUUCCGUUCUAAAUUGCGUAUUGUCUAAACAAGUGCACAUGCUUAUCUGUUGGAAUAAAAGACACGGACUGCUGCAGACAGAGCACACAGUAACGUAGCUGUACGAUAUUUCAACAACGCGCAGCGGAUACGCGACCCUGUCAGUCAUUUUCUCUUAUUAUCCAGCUGAUCAUUUAUAUGGUGAUCAACAAAAAAAACCCAACUUGUUUGCAAAUAGCCAUUCAUAAAGUGAUUUGAUAGUGAGAGUGCGGCAGGAGGCUGUAUUCUUAUAGUAACAAACCUACCAAAUGCAUAUGUUGCUGAUUCGUCCGUAGCGGGAUGCAUCUUCUCUCUUAUUCAGAAUAUAUUUAGUCUUCUCUUUUUCGACACAGUGCUCAGAAUGAAACUGGCAAAGCGUCCUCUCCAACAGACGGGAUCAAACACAAAAAAAAACCCCCACGAUGUUUAUUGGAGAACUGCAAUGUCUGAUCAUGCAAAAACUUUGGAGAGCCGAAGCAAACAACUGAUUGACGUUAUGUGUUGUUGAGCGAGGAAGUGGAAAUAUAUAAGUUGACGUGUCGUCCGAGCAGAGUGAUCAUUUGUCUGCCUGUGGAAAUGACAAGGAGGCUUUACAGCAAGCAGAGAUCCUGCGCGUCUUUUCUCUCCUACAGUAAUAUGGCCAAAACGCGCUCGUACGCCGUUGCUUUGUGUGGGCUUGGAGAGAGGGAGCGAGGGAGGGAGGGAGAGGGGGGAGAGAAGUCAGAACAGACACCUGUCUUUAAGUGUGGCGGGCAUGCAUUACGAGAUUCUGCAUAUUACAAAUUAUGUUGAGGUUGGCAGCAAAAAAAAAGGCAGUAAGAUCAGUAAUUAGAGCCGUAAUUAAAAAUGCCAAAAUUGUAAUUUUAUUACAAAAUAAAACAUCCAGUAUGCUUAAGUGAAGCCUAUAAAAACCAGUAGUGAUUAUUAUCAUUAGUAUUAUUAUUACAAUUAUUAUAAUCAAUAUUAUUAUCUUUAUCAAAAUUAAUAACUACAAUAUUUAAUUUUUGCAUAGACAUUACACACAAAAUAAUAUAGAUAUACCAUAAUAAUAUAUACCCUUUUUAACAAUGACACCUCUAGCAAACAUACAUUAUGCGGGGAUUUAAAAGCACUACGUAAAAAAUGAUAACAGCCUCAAUUAACCUCACGUAAACCUAUACUGGGUUGAUAAACGUUGCAAUUUUUUAUUUUUUUUUUUUUUUUUGUCCCCCCACGAAUAAACAUUUCCACACCAACACAAUUGAUUUGCUAUUAACCCUCCCUCAAAAGUCUUGUGCUGUAGCUUUUAUUUCCCGGGUUUAAAAGUUUCCUCUGUGUGAUUAGUGGUUGUUCCCCCUUCAAAGCAGAGGAUAAAAGCACUAUAUGCUCAGCAAGCCUGCAUGCACACAACAAUAGCGCUGCCCAACGGGGCCAGUAUCGAUUAAGACGAGACAGAGGAUGUCGCCUGCACUAAAUAUUUACUGAUCACACACAAAUAGCUGGAUCUUCAACGAUUUCCCAUGCUCCGGCUGGGAGAAAGGACUAAAUCACUUUAUUAUUGUUAGUAAAACAAAGCGCACGCUCUGAAACACAGGAGUGGAGAUGUGCUGAUUGGGAUAAGUGCAGUUAAAUUAAUCGAUGGUGAGCAGAUAAUAGUUGAGAUUUACGGGCGCGCAAAGAAAAAGCUCUCACUCAUGUAUCGGGUUAAACUGACUUGUGCAAUGAGACUGGCAAUUCUUCUUGUAGGUGCCAACAUGCGCGUAUUAGUCAGAGCAGCGUCAAAUCAACAGAUUAUAGAUUGAAGCACAGCAGUCAGCGUGAACAGUUUUCUUGAAAAUGACGUUUUAAGAAAAAAAAAAAGCUUUGAGUUUAUUUUUUUUUUAUAAAUAGAUUGUCCUGUUGACAGCGAGAAACCCCUCCUCACACUUGCGUAAAAAGUCAAAACUGGAAGAAAAAGUCCACUUUCAUCUUAUCUCUGCCUUCACCAAGUCCUCCAUGCAGAUAGAGGGAUACUGACCCGGAGGUCUCCAAGUUCCCGGCCUGAUUAACCCUUCAAGACCCGCGCAGGAGCAAACGUUAACCAGGCUAAUCAACUUCAGGAGUCUGAUUGAAUUAGAUGUGGAAUCGGGAUAGAAGCUAAUUUUUUUUCUUUUUUACCACUUAAAAAGAGAAGAGAUACGCUGGUCAUUUUUUUUAUUUUUACAACUGAGUCAAUUUAAAUUAAGACGAAAUAUAAAAUAGACAAAGUAAUUAAACUGCAGGCAACAGGUUCCAGAUGAUUCUGGCAUAAUACAAAAUUAAACAUUUUUAGGUACUUCCGAUAUUCAAAAGUCUCUUUACGCACCCACCAGUUGGUUUUUUCAUACUUGAUAAAGAUCACUUGAUUGAUGGUGCUUGUGCCCCAUAUGUUAUGGCGAUUUUAUCUGCUGCAUUACAUAAUAUCAAUCAGUACACUCCAGUAAAAGUUUUACGUCUUGUCUCUGUAUGGCAGUUCUUCAUUGUGCUGUUGUAAUGCAGUUAAUAUAUGCAGAUUGAGAGAGAAAAAAAACCAAAACUGGACCAAUUAAUCAAAUGUCUUCUUGUACUUUUAGCUCCAUUAAGGUAAAGAAUAUUUGCUGGUAAAACAUAAUUAAAGUUUCAAGAAGUUACUGUAGACUCACAGAACGGUGAUAAAAGGAAGAGCUACAAGCAAAGCAAGUAAAAUCCUCGUUUAUAAGGAUAUUUUAACUUUCAUGAUAAAAAAAGAUUGAAUAAUCGUGUGAGCAAACACUGAUUAUUUCAAAUGUGGUGACAUUUUCAGGACAUUUUUUCCCCUGAUGCAGUAUGCUGUGUGCAUAUUCUCAGUUUGUCGUGAUCUGACUCACUUUCUUUCUUCAUAGUUGAUUCUUAGCUUUAUAUGACUUGUCCUUUAAACUAUGUCUUCAUUAUAAUACACCAAUAGAAAAAAUAAUGGCAUUACACUAACACCCCCUUAUGGUAAAUAUGGGGUGUGUGUGUGUGUGUAAUUAAUUGUAUGCACGCACAUAUAAGCUCUAUAGAGUCAGGUACAUACGCCGAGAGACAAAAAGGUGUGUAGUCACCUUUUUGUGAGUCUGCUCUCGUGUAAGCAGGCAUACACGUCUUAGGCGAGACCAUUUUACAAAGAGUCCAUUCAGCGGAGGUAGAUCACUUUCUCUCUGUCUGCAUGCCCCAAGGGCCGCUAUCUAAAAAGGCAAUAGAUCCCAGAUAGCUCACUGUGUUCAAUUUGCCAAUGAUAGAUUAUAGUGCCAAUUUAUAAAGAUAGGGAUCAAUUUGUCUCAAUGAUCACUCUUUAGGCUGACUGCCAGACAGCUCUUAAUGUAUUUGUAAAUGCUGCUUAUUUAAAAUUGCGGCCGUUAAAGUGAUCAAAACUGUAUGUAAUAUGGGGGAAUGAUGUGAGAAACGAUAAAUGAUGUAUUGUUUUGGCUGCUAAAGGCUGCAUAGAUCGAGCAUACGUGACGGUUGCUUGAGGCAGCAGCACUAUAGCAGCAAUGGCCAGAAGGUCAAUGGUUUAACUCUAACGACUCCCUGGGAAAGUCUGUGUACGGGAAUUGUGUGAUAAGUGCUCUCUAACCCUCAGGAACUCCUGCUGAAGUACCCUUCGGCAAAGCAGCUUAAACCCCAUCUGUCCCAGUGGAGCCGCGCAGCGACCGGCAGUACAAGACUGCGGUUGUACUGGGCACUUGUGAGACGUGUCUCUUUGAGUGUGACCUGCCCACUCUUUUCUGUUAAAAUAGGGAGAGUGGGCAGUUCACUUGCCUCACACGUUUUUUUUUUCUCAUGUCAGACAGGGAAAAUGUUUGGGAGAAGACACAAGAGGGAAAGCUGUGGCAGUAUUCAGUCCUGAGCCCAGACGUUGCUCACAUGUGGCCCCAAAGGCAGCAGACAGUGUAUUGAAUUACUGUAACUGAAGGUGUAAUGUGGUAGCAGUGCGGAGGAGGUAUAACUUACACAAACGGAUGUAGAAGAGGCUUAUUUCAGCUUUCUAUUACAGCUUUUAAAAGUGGGAUUGUACAGGUUAUUUUCUCAAAUUUCAGCCAUCGCCAUAUACUGGUUAAAAUGACAGCUGUAUUUUUUUUAAUAGGGAUCAUUAAUGUCUCAUUAUCAUUAGAUUUAUCAAUUAUAUCGCGAUGAUAUCGUCAUGUAAAAACCUUGUAGCUAUGAUUUUCACGUCAGUUCAGAAUUAUGUGGUUUAUAGUGCAAGAGAAAACGCUGACAUCUGCAGCCGUGUUUCUUGGCUCUUGAACAGUUUGGACAUUUAGGGAACACUUUGAAUUGUGACAUGUAACACCAUGAGAUGACCAGUUAAAUAUUACUCUUUGAACCGAUGGUAGUCAUGUAAGUAUAUUGUAUAUAAUUGCAAUUUGUUAUCUUACACUGGCUACAUUUGACUAAUAAAGUUUUGAGACAUCA